UACGGAAGGCAGCAGUGGGGAAUAUUGCACAAUGGGCGAAAGCCUGAUGCAGCUAUGCCGCGUGUAUGAAGAAGGCCUUAGGGUUGUAAAGUACUUUCAUCGGGGAGGAAAAAACAAAACUAAUAAUUUUAUUUCUUGACGUUACCCGAAAAAGAAGCACCGGCUAACUCCGUGCCAGCAGCCGCGGUAAUACGGAGGGUGCUAGCGUUAAUCAGAAUUACUGGGCGUAAAGAGCACGUAGGUGGUUUUUUUAAGUCAGAUGUGAAAUCCCUGGGCUUAACCUAGGAACUGCAUUUUGAAACUGAAAUACUAGAGUAUCGUAGAGGGAGGUAGAAUUCUAGGUGUAGCGGUGAAAUGCGUAGAUAUCUGGAGGAAUACCUGUGGCGAAAGCGGCCUCUAAACGAAUAACUGACACUGAGGUGCGAAAAGCGUGGGGAGCAAAACAGGGAUUAGAUACC
rnacentral:rRNA from 1 species